rnacentral:rRNA from 1 species
GACGAACGCUGGCGGCGUGCCUAAUACAUGCAAGUAGAACGCUGAAGAGAGGAGCUUGCUCUUCUUGGAUGAGUUGCGAACGGGUGAGUAACGCGUAGGUAACCUGCCUUGUAGCGGGGGAUAACUAUUGGAAACGAUAGCUAAUACCGCAUAACAAUGGAUGACACAUGUCAUUUAUUUGAAAGGGGCAAUUGCUCCACUACAAGAUGGACCUGCGUUGUAUUAGCUAGUAGGUGAGGUAACGGCUCACCUAGGCGACGAUACAUAGCCGACCUGAGAGGGUGAUCGGCCACACUGGGACUGAGACACGGCCCAGACUCCUACGGGAGGCAGCAGUAGGGAAUCUUCGGCAAUGGGGGCAACCCUGACCGAGCAACGCCGCGUGAGUGAAGAAGGUUUUCGGAUCGUAAAGCUCUGUUGUAAGUCAAGAACGAGUGUGAGAGUGGAAAGUUCACACUGUGACGGUAGCUUACCAGAAAGG